GACGAACGCUGGCGGCGUGCUUAACACAUGCAAGUCGAACGGUAAGGCCCCAGCUUGCUGGGGUACACGAGUGGCGAACGGGUGAGUAACACGUGGGUGACCUGCCCCGCACUUCGGGAUAAGCCUGGGAAACUGGGUCUAAUACCGGAUAGGACCGCACCGUGAGGGUGUGGUGGAAAGUUUUUCGGUUUGGGAUGGGCCCGCGGCCUAUCAGGUUGUUGGUGGGGUAAUGGCCUACCAAGGCGGCGACGGGUAGCCGGCCUGAGAGGGUGGACGGCCACAUUGGGAACGAGACACGGCCCAGACCCCUACGGGAGGCAGCAGUGGGGAAUAUUGCAAAAUGGGCGGAAGGCUUAUGCAGGCAAGCCGCGUGGGGGAUGAAGGCCUUCGGGUUUGAAACCCCUUUCCCCAGUGACGAAGGGUUUUUGACGGGAAAAGGAGAAGAAGCACCGGCUAACUACGUG
rnacentral:rRNA from 1 species